GAGUAGUACAGGUCCAGACAUCUGUAGUCUUUGCUCUUCAGGGUUGGGACUGAUCUGCAGUGCACUGGCACCAUCAAACUCGGUCCAUGAUUUGCUCCUGGGUAUGUGGAGUCUGUGGUUUAUAGUUUAGUUUAUUGAGAAAUAGGAUUUUAGAGUUUUGCUUUGUCAGUGUUUGUGACUCAUUGAAGAGGAGAUGGAAAACAGGAGUUGAUUACUUUACACUUUGGGUGCAUGAAAUCGUGGCUCUGAGGGCUAGGCCCACAAGAAAGAAUUCAGAACUGGUAUCACUACCCUGAUUUGCAAAAGCUAAAAAUGUCGCCUGUGUUCCUGAAGUUGUGAUCUCUGUUCUUUGUGACACAUAGAAAGUGUUGCUUCCAGUGUGCUCUUCUGCUUUGGUAUUCCAGACGGUCUUUCUUUUCUCUCUUCCUCUUCUGUAGUUUCUUGGAUGCACAUGGAAUCAUGGGAACGUCUUUGUAAUACAGAAUCAUAGAAGACUGACUGAGAAUUUAGAUAAUUAAAACAGUUUUUCCAAAUCCUUAAAUCUCAAAAAUCUUUAAAAAAGAAUAUCCUUUAAAAUAAAAUGAUUUAAAUUUUACAAAUGCCACAUUUAAAGCA
rnacentral:lncRNA from 1 species